rfam:Thielaviopsis punctulata NODE_525, whole genome shotgun sequence.
AAGGCAGCAGGCGCGCAAAUUACCCAAUCCCGACACGGGGAGGUAGUGACAAUAAAUACUGAUACAGGGCUCUUAUGGGUCUUGUAAUCGGAAUGAGUACAAUUUAAAUCCCUUAACGAGGAACAAUUGGAGGGCAAGUCUGGUGCCAGCAGCCGCGGUAAUUCCAGCUCCAAUAGCGUAUAUUAAAGUUGUUGUGGUUAAAAAGCUCGUAGUUGAACCUUGGGCCUGGCUGGCCGGUCCCCCUCACCGGGUGCACUGGUCCGGCCGGGUCUUUCCCUCUGUGGAACCGCAUGCCCUUCACUGGGUGUGUCGAGGAAACAGGACUUUUACUUUGAAAAAAUUAGAGUGCUCCAGGCAGGCCUAUGCUCGAAUAGUACAGCAUGGAAUAAUAGAAUAGGACGUGUGGUUCUAUUUUGUUGGUUUCUAGGACCGCCGUAAUGAUUAAUAGGGACAGUCGGGGGCAUCAGUAUUCAGCUGUCAGAGGUGAAAUUCUUGGAUCUGCUGAAGACUAACUACUGCGAAAGCAUUUGCCAAGGAUGUUUUCAUUGAUAAGGAACGAAAGUUAGGGGAUCGAAGACGAUCAGAUACCGUCGUAGUCUUAACCAUAAACUAUGCCGACUAGGGAUCGGACGAUGUUGUUUUUUGACUCGUUCGGCACCUUUCGAGAAAUCAAAGUGCUUGGGCUCCAGGGGGAGUAUGGUCGCAAGGCUGAAACUUAAAGAAAUUGACGGAAGGGCACCACCAGGGGUGGAGCCUGCGGCUUAAUUUGACUCAACACGGGGAAACUCACCAGGUCCAGACACAGUGAGGAUUGACAGAUUGAGAGCUCUUUCUUGAUUCUGUGGGUGGUGGUGCAUGGCCGUUCUUAGUUGGUGGAGUGAUUUGUCUGCUUAAUUGCGAUAACGAACGAGACCUUAACCUGCUAAAUAGCCCGUAUUGCUUUGGCAGUACGCUGGCUUCUUAGAGGGACUAUCGGCUCAAGCCGAUGGAAGUUUGAGGCAAUAACAGGUCUGUGAUGCCCUUAGAUGUUCUGGGCCGCACGCGCGUUACACUGACACAGCCAGCGAGUUUUUCCUUGUCAGAGAUGGCCGGGUAAUCUUGUUAAACUGUGUCGUGCUGGGGAUAGAGCAUUGCAAUUAUUGCUCUUCAACGAGGAAUCCCUAGUAAGCGCAAGUCAUCAGCUUGCGUUGAUUACGUCCCUGCCCUUUGUACACACCGCCCGUCGCUACUACCGAUUGGAUGGCUCAGUGAGACCUCCGGACUGGCCGAGAGAGGUGGGAAACUACCACUCAUGGCCGGAAAGCUGUUCAAACUCGGUCAUCUAGAGGAAGUAAAAGUCGUAACAAGGUCUCCGUUGGUGAACCAGCGGAGGGAUCAUUA